rnacentral:rRNA from 1 species
CCUACGGGAGGCAGCAGUCGGGAAUCUUGCACAAUGGGCGAAAGCCUGAUGCAGCAACACCGUGUGAGCGAUGAAGGCCCUAGGGUCGUAAAGCUCUGUUGUUAGGGACGAAGGGCGAAGGGUUAAUAGCCCUUAGCCUGACGGUACCUUUCGAGGAAGCCCCGGCUAACUACGUGCCAGCAGCCGCGGUAAUACGUAGGGGGCGAGCGUUGUCCGGAAUUAUUGGGCGUAAAGAGCGUGUAGGCGGCUUGGUAAGUCUGCUGUGAAACCUUGGGGCUCAACCCCAAGCGUGCAGUGGAUACUGUCAAGCUAGAGGAUGGUAGAGGCCAGUGGAAUUCCCAGUGUAGCGGUGAAAUGCGCAGAUAUUGGGAGGAACACCAGUAGCGAAGGCGGCUGGCUGGGCCAUUCCUGACGCUGAGACGCGAAAGCUAGGGGAGCGA